rnacentral:rRNA from 1 species
CCUACGGGAGGCAGCAGUGGGGAAUUUUGCGCAAUGCUCGUAAGAGUGACGCAGCGACGCCGCGUGAAUGACGAAGGCCUUCGGGUCGUAAAGUUCUUUCGACAGGGAAGAAAAUGCCUAUAAGUAACUGUGUAUGUAUUGACGGUACCUGUAUAAGCAGCCCCGACUAACUCCGUGCCAGCAGCCGCGGUAAUACGGAGGGGGCGAGCGUUGUUCGGAGUGACUGGGCGUAAAGAGCACGUAGGCGGUGUUGUAAGUCAUUAGUCAAAGACUAGAGCUCAACUUUAGUAAGGCUAGUGAUACUAUAAUACGAGAGUAUCAGAGAGGAUUGCAGAAUUCCUGGUGUAGCGGUGAAAUGCGUAGAUAUCAGGAGGAAUACCGUUAGCGAAGGCGGCAAUCUGGCUGGAAACUGACGCUGAGGUGCGAAAGCGUGGGUAGCAAACAGGAUUAGAUACCCCAGUAGUC